rnacentral:lncRNA from 1 species
AAGGCAUGGGGUGCUUUGCACCUCCAGGGCUCCCCUGAACAGUCCCCAUAAUGCCUCCAGAUGCUACUAGUCUGGAAACCAAUCAAUCUUCCCUUUAACUAGUUAGCACACCUUCCCUGGGGUUCUUUAUCAAGGCACACACAUCCUCAGUACUGAAAGAUGCAUGGAUAUGGCUUCAGAAAAUGAGGCUCUCUGAAUAUUUUCUUAUGAAGGCUUUCAUAUACAUACAGAGUUAAGAAGAGGUGGGGAGGGGCUACAGGUACAUACAGCUUUUUACCUGAUAGCCAUGGCUGUCAAAUUUGGUCUCCGCUCUGCAUGACGCAAUAAUUAAUGCUUUUCUCACAGUAGCGGAAAAAGGACUUUCUUUAAUAUUAUGCCAAGUGACCCUCUAGGGCAAAGGCUCCACUUCAUAGCUAGGAUUCAUGAAAGUGUUUACUAUGAUGCCAUUCAGAUUGUAGGCAGCCCACAUGCUAGUCAGGCCAAAUUUUUGUCUAGUUUCACUGCUCCAGUGAAAGCAGUGUGGCUGUUUAUUGCGGAGACCAGAUUGCUUCUCAACUCCGGUCAGGCUUUUUCAGCUCAGACACCAUAUUUUGGGAGAACUUUAAGAAGCUGA